ACUGGUGAGUAACACGUGGAUAACCUGCCCUGAAGUAUGGGAUAACAUUUGGAAACAAGUGCUAAUACCGUAUAAUUAGUAAAAGUCGCAUGACUUCUACUUGAAAGAUGGUUCUGCUAUCGCUUUAGGAUGGAUCCGCGGCGUAUUAGCUAGUUGGUGAGAUAAAAGCCCACCAAGGCGAUGAUACGUAGCCGACCUGAGAGGGUAAUCGGCCACAUUGGGACUGAGACACGGCCCAGACUCCUACGGGAGGCAGCAGUAGGGAAUCUUCCACAAUGGACGAAAGUCUGAUGGAGCAACGCCGCGUGAGUGAAGAAGGGUUUCGGCUCGUAAAACUCUGUUGUUAAAGAAGAACAAGUAUAAGAGUAACUGUUUAUGCUUUGACGGUAUUUAACCAGAAAGCCACGGCUAACUACGUGCCAGCAGCCGCGGUAAUACGUAGGUGGCAAGCGUUGUCCGGAUUUAUUGGGCGUAAAGCGAGCGCAGGCGGUUUUUUAAGUCUGAUGUGAAAGCCUUCGGCUCAACCGAAGAAGUGCAUCGGAAACUAAAUAACUUG
rnacentral:rRNA from 1 species